rnacentral:rRNA from 1 species
UACGUAGGGGGCAAGCGUUGUCCGGAAUUAUGAGCGUAAAGAGCUUGUAGGCGGUUUGUCGCGUCUGCUGUGAAAUUUCGGGGCUCAACCCCGAACUUGCAGUGGGUACGGGCAGACUAGAGUGUGGUAGGGGAGACUGGAAUUCCUGGUGUAGCGGUGAAAUGCGCAGAUAUCAGGAGGAACACCGGUGGCGAAGGCGGCAUCCUGGACCGGCAUUGACGCUGAGG